CGAUCCAAAAUCCACAAUAACAAACCGUACUCCCUAAUCGUAAACCAUCGCUACCACCAACCGCCGGUGACGAUGGCCGGAAUCACAUUCACCUACGCCGUCGUCAGAACUCCUCCUCUUCCGGUCACCGUUUCCGUCUCUUCCAACACCUUCACUUCUACCGUUACCUUCUCCAAAAGAAGACGUCAACAACAACAUUUCUGUCAAUGCACCGUUGACGCCAAUUCCGUCGCUAACGCCGUCACCACCACCACCGGUGACGAUAUGUUCUCCGUCAACACUAAUUCUCACGACUGCGGCUUCGAUUAUCUCGGUCAGAGCACCAAAGGCGACCUGAACCUCAAAUACGAGAUUAAUGGUGAGGUAGAUGUUGCGCGUAAAGGUCCGAUUGAGGAGGUUGCUAAGCUUCAAGCAUUAGAAGCCGAAGGAUUGCUUAAUGGCCUAGGGAUACAGGAUCCGUCUACCUCGAGGCAUUCUCCGCGUGGCAUAUUUUGUACCCGCACGUUGAAUCUCCGGUCAAUUAGUGCGAUUGGAUAUGACAUGGAUUACACUUUAAUGCAUUAUAACGUCAUGGCUUGGGAAGGGCGAGCGUAUGACUACUGUAUGGAGAAUCUAAAAAAAGUCGGCUUUCCUGUUGAUGGACUUGCUUUUGACCCUGAAUUGGUUAUUAGAGGACUUGUCAUAGAUAAAGAGAAAGGCAACUUGGUUAAGGCUGACCGAUUUGGCUAUGUGAAAAGGGCUAUGCAUGGCACAAAACUGCUAUCUACCCGAGCUGUCAGUGAGAUUUAUGGGAGAGAACUGGUUGACCUGAGAAAAGAAAGUAGAUGGGAGUUUCUCAAUACAUUAUUCUCUGUUUCAGAAGCAGUGGCGUAUAUGCAGAUGGUUGACAGAUUGGAUGAAGGGAUGAUUUCACCAGAUCUCGGCGCACUUGAUUACAAAGGUCUUUACAAGGCUGUUGGUAAGGCUCUCUUUAGGGCUCACGUGGAAGGUCAACUAAAGAGUGAGAUCAUGUCGAAGCCAGAACUGUUUGUAGAGCCUGAUCCAGAGCUCCCUUUAGCGCUUCUGGACCAAAAGGAGGCUGGUAAAAAGUUAUUGCUUAUUACGAACUCGGAUUACAUCUAUACAGACAAGAUGAUGCGGCAUUCUUUUAAUAGGUUUCUUCCAAAUGAUAUGAACUGGCGAGAUUUGUUUGAAAUGGUUAUUGUCUCUGCUAGGAAGCCUGAAUUCUUUCAAAUGUCACAUCCUUUAUAUGAAGUUGUUACAAGUGAAGGCCUGAUGCGACCAUGUUUCAAAGCUCGUCCAGGGGGCUUGUAUUCUGGAGGAAGCGCUCAAAUGGUUGAAAAUUCUUUAGGCAUUCAUGGAGAUGAGAUAUUGUAUGUUGGCGAUCAUAUCUAUACAGAUGUAAGCGUCUCUAAAGUGCAUCUUCGUUGGCGGACAGCAUUAAUUUGUCGAGAGUUGGAAGAAGAGUAUAAUGCUCUAAUUCAUAGUCGAGAGCACCGGGCUUUGCUUGUAGAACUGAUAAAGCAGAAGGAGGUUGUCGGUGAUCUCUUUAAUCAACUUCGUCUGGCUCUGCAGAGGAGAAACAUGGGUCGUCCUGCUCAAAUUAUUAUGGUUCUAUAGAAUUUACCAUUCAUUUUCUAGACCAUGGCUGCUACUCAUAUGGAUGAUAAAGAGCUCACCGAGAGUGUGCAAAAGCUACUUAUUGUAAUGCAACGGCUGGAUGAAAAAAUUGCACCAAUGUUGGAACAGGACGGGGAACACUUCAGUAAAAGGUGGGGAUAUCUGUCACGUGCAGGUUUGUGGGACAAGAGUCACCUGAUGCGACAAAUAGAGAAGUAUGCUGAUAUUUAUACGUCACGAGUGUCAAAUUUCCUUCAUUAUACACCGUUCAUGUAUUUCCGCUCACAGGAGCAGACUCUGGCGCACGACUCAUAUUCAUUUUACGAAUCUCAAAUCGAUCCAUGAGUCAAUAAACGUGGCAGUGUUGUUAAAGCUACUUUUGGUCUCCCCUUUACCAUCAAGAUGCUGUUAGUUCAUGUUGAAUCCCUAUGUCGGUAUGGUCGAACCAUAAACUCUAAAUGCUCUGCUUCCAGGACCCUAAGCGCUCACGCUUUUUAAAAUCGAGGUUGUACUAUAUUUUGGUAGCAAUAGACAAAUGCAUCUUCUAGUGAGUAGUUUGAAAUCCAUUAGUGGCUGUUGUAACUUGUAAGGUAUUCUUCUUUGUAUGAUAACUUUGCACUUGUAAAUUUGGGCUGCAAGUAGUCUUCAUAGGAAAAGACAUUUAUGAAGAUACUUGUGUUAAUAUUUGCUUGUAAAAAGUGCUUUAACGGCAUUUGGUUUGUAAACUGUUAUUGUGGCA